rnacentral:tRNA from 1 species
GCUCCAGUGGCGCAAUCGGUUAGCGCGCGGUACUUAUAAGACAGUGGCCGGUGGGCUAUGCCGAGGUUGUGAGUUCGAGCCUCACCUGGAGCA